AUUGAACGCUGGCGGCAGGCCUAACACAUGCAAGUCGAACGAGUGGCGGACGGGUGAGUCAUGUCUGGGGAACUGCCUGAUGGAGGGGGAUAACUACUGGAAACGGUAGCUAAUACCGCAUACCAUCGGAUGUGCCCAGAUGGGGUUAUAUAGUAGGUUGGGUAAAGGCCCACCUAGGCGACGAUCCCUAGCUGGUCUGCUAGGAUGACCAGCCACACUGGAACUGAGACACGGUCCAGACUCCUACGGGAGGCAGCAGUGGGGAAUAUUGCACAAUGGGCGCAAGCCUGAUGCAGCCAUGCCGCGUGUAUGAAGAAGGCCUGCGGGUUGUAAAGUACUUUCAGCGGUGAGGCGUUACCCGCAGAAGAAGCACCGGCGAACUCCGUGCCAGCAGCCGCGGUAAUUC
rnacentral:rRNA from 1 species